GAUGAACGCUAGCGGGAGGCCUAACACAUGCAAGUCGAACGGGAUUGGGAGCUUGCUCCCAUGAGAGUGGCGCACGGGUGAGUAACGCGUAUGCAACCUACCUUUAACUGAGGGAUAGCCCAUAGAAAUGUGGAUUAAUACCUCAUAGUUCUUUUGGCCCGCAUGGGUCGAUAGAUAAAGCUCCGGCGGUUAAAGAUGGGCAUGCGUGACAUUAGCUAGUUGGUAAGGUAACGGCUUACCAAGGCUACGAUGUCUAGGGGUUCUGAGAGGAUGAUCCCCCACACUGGUACUGAGACACGGACCAGACUCCUACGGGAGGCAGCAGUGAGGAAUAUUGGUCAAUGGGCGCAAGCCUGAACCAGCCAUCCCGCGUGAAGGAUGAAGGCCCUAAGGGUCGUAAACUUCUUUUAUACACUAAGAAAAGUCCCCACGUGUGGGGACCCGACGGUAGUGUAUGAAUAAGCAUCGGCUAACUCCGUGCCAGCCGCCGCGGUAA
rnacentral:rRNA from 1 species